UACGGGGGGGGCAAGCGUUGUUCGGAAUUACUGGGCGUAAAGGGCUCGUAGGCGGCCAACUAAGUCAGACGUGAAAUCCCUCGGCUUAACCGGGGAACUGCGUCUGAUACUGGAUGGCUUGAGGUUGGGAGAGGGAUGCGGAAUUCCAGGUGUAGCGGUGAAAUGCUUAGAUAUGACAUAGAACACCAAUUGCGAGGGCAGCUCACUAGACGAAUAUUGACACUGAGGCACGAAAGCGUGGGGAUCAAACAGG
rnacentral:rRNA from 1 species